rnacentral:lncRNA from 1 species
AAGUCCGGCUUGGUAAAAAAAACUUAUGGCCACCUAAAUUGGACCUACGUCAUAACAUUAUAUCCACAGAAUCUACCACGAACUUGGCCUAUGACCUUGAAACGUAAGCCACUGGCCGUUUGCUGCGUGCUACUAGUGCAAGGGGCUCGACUGGCCCGGGGACUCACCGGCUGUUUUUGCUAUUCGCACGGCCAGUGGCCAUGGGCUCACACGAUGGUCCCGUCGCCCCUGCUCGCUGCAUGGUGCUGCCAGCCUUGUUGUCGGAGCUGCAAGGCAAGGGGCUCGGCUACUGCUAGGGGCUAGAACGUCCACCGGUGCUUCCAACAGGUGAGCUCUGUCCCUCGGUGAGGUGCGAUGUUGCAAAGUGAUGUGGCUGACGCUAGUGCUGAGUACCAGUGCUUCAUGGACGUUGCCACUCGCACCGUUUCAAAGGGUUUAGGGGAUGCUGCGAGGUGCGAUGCUCCAAUUUCUAUGUUGUUCAAAUGGCAUCCCGUCUACAAGCGCAUUGGGUGUGGGCUGGCAGCAUCGAGGCUUCGAGUGGUGGCGGUCAGGCUAUGAGGCGACAACCGGUGUGGGCGAGCUAGUGGAGGGGUGCUACGAUGCUGAGCGAACAUGCAACAUGCACCAUGUUGGGCACUCGACACUGUUGCAACAAUAUCAACAGGCGUGGUGUCGUGAUGCUC